AUGCUUAAACUUGUGCUAAAACUCAACCUCAACUUGAAGAACUUAAAACUGCUACUUUUGCUUGUUGAGGGUCUAAUCACCCCCCCUCUAGACACCUCUUCUCAAUCUCCAUUGCUUUGGUUUAAUCACCAUUGGAGGAAGAUGGAUGAGUCUACGAUGGGGAAGUUUAGACGUAGAGUGCCUAUGCUUGAUGGAGAGUUCUACAAUGCUUGGAAAAAUGAGAUGCUUGAGAUUUUCAAUGAAUAUCACUUGAACAAGUACAUUACUAGCCCUUGUGCACCCCUUAUUGAUCCCUUGCAUCCUACCCCUGAUGAGUCUCUUGACAUGAUCCGCAAUCUUAGAACUAUCAACCUUAUCAUUAGAGGACUGCCUAGAAAUUUGAUUGUAUGCUUGCCUACUCUUGAAUGUGCUUACACCGUAUGGAGAUUUCUUGAGGAACGGUUUCCAAACUAUUCCUUGAAAAAUCUAGAUGUGGUUCUUCAAAAGUCCAUAGAUUUUCAUAAAAUGAAACCUAGUGACCCUAAAUUUGAUGAUUGUCUAUUUGAGCUUCGUGACCUCAUGCGUGCCAAAGGAGAUGUUGGAGCCAUUAGUAGCAUUAUCUCUCAAGUCAUUAGAAUUCAUAAAGUUGCACAUUGCCAUGGUCAUACAUCUAAUGAAACACUCUCUCUAGGUGACGAUUCAUCACAAGACGAUGUUGAACGCGGAUACUAUGAUGAGGAUGAUGAUAGUGACUUUGAUCUCGAUGAGUCUAUGAGACACUUUGGUCUUAUGGCUAAUCUUCGCAGCUAUAUGGCUGGAGGAAAGGAAUGUGUUCUUGAUAGUGGAUGUACCGAUCACAUGACCGAAGACAAGGAUAUGUUUCAUGAGCUUGCUAAAAAUGACGGCCCUCGAAAUUAUGUCACUUUUGGUGAUAACUCAAAGGGUAAGGUGGUUGGCCUUGGUAAGGUGGCCAUCUCACAUGACAGCUCCAUCCAAAAUGUUAUGCUCGUUGAAUCUCUUGGCUAUAAUUUACUUUCCGUAUCUUGA
rnacentral:rRNA from 1 species